GACGAACGCUGGCGGCGUGCUUAACACAUGCAAGUCGAACGGAAAGGCUCCAGCUUGCUGGAGUACUCGAGUGGCGAACGGGUGAGUAACACGUGGGUAAUCUGCCCUGCACUCUGGGAUAAGCCUGGGAAACUGGGUCUAAUACUGGAUAUGACCUUUCUCCUUAUGGGGUUUUUUGGAAAGUUUUUCGGUUUAUGAUUAGCCCGCGGCCUAUCAGCUUGUUGUUGGGGUGAUGGCCUACCAAGGCGACGACGGGUAGCCGGCCUGAGAGGGUGAUCGGCCACAUGGGGACUGAGAUACGGACCAGACUGCUACGGGAGGCAGCAGUGGGGAAUAUUGCACAAUGGGAGGAAGCCUGAUGCAGCGACGCCGCGUGAGGGAUGACGGCCUUCGGGUUGUAAAACUCUUUCAGCAGGGACGAAGCGUAAGUGACGGUACCUGAAGAAGAAGCACCGGCUAACUAUGUG
rnacentral:rRNA from 1 species